AUUGAACGCUGGCGGCAUGCUUUACACAUGCAAGUCGAACGGUAACAGGCCGCAAGGUGCUGACGAGUGGCGAACGGGUGAGUAAUGCAUCGGAACGUGCCCAGUCGUGGGGGAUAACUACUCGAAAGAGUAGCUAAUACCGCAUACGAUCUAUGGAUGAAAGCGGGGGACCGCAAGGCCUCGCGCGAUUGGAGCGGCCGAUGUCAGAUUAGGUAGUUGGUGGGGUAAAGGCUCACCAAGCCAACGAUCUGUAGCUGGUCUGAGAGGACGACCAGCCACACUGGGACUGAGACACGGCCCAGACUCCUACGGGAGGCAGCAGUGGGGAAUUUUGGACAAUGGGCGCAAGCCUGAUCCAGCAAUGCCGCGUGCAGGAAGAGGGCCUUCGGGUUGUAAACUGCUUUUGUACGGAACGAAACGGCUCUGGUUAAUACCCGGGGCUAAUGACGGUACCGUAAGAAUAAGCACCGGCUAACUACGUG
rnacentral:rRNA from 1 species